rnacentral:rRNA from 1 species
AUACGGAGGAUCCGAGCGUUAUCCGGAUUUAUUGGGUUUAAAGGGUGCGCAGGCGGCCAUUUAAGUCAGCGGUGAAAUCGUGGGGCUCAACCCCAGUCUGCCGUUGAUACUGGGCGGCUUGAUGGCGGUCGAGGGUGGCUGAAAUCGCUGGGGAGCGGGUAAAUGCAUAGAUAUGACGAAGAACACCGAUUGCGUAGGCAGCUGACCAGACCGCAAAUGACGCUCAUGCACGAAAGUGCGGGGAUCGAACAGGAUUAGAUACCCUGGUAGUCCGCACAGUAAACGAUGAAUACUUGUUUUCGGCGAUAUAAUGUCGGAGGCAAAGCGAAAGCGAUAAGUAUUCCACCUGGGGAGUACGCCGGCAACGGUGAAACUCAAAGGAAUUGGCGGGG